GACGAACGCUGGCGGCGUGCUUAACACAUGCAAGUCGAACGCUGAAGCUCAGCUUUUGUUGGGUGGAUGAGUGGCGAACGGGUGAGUAAUACGUGAGUAACCUGCCUCCUUCUUUGGGAUAACGCCCGGAAACGGGUGCUAAUACUGGAUAUUCACUGGUCUUCGCAUGGGGGUUGGUGGAAAGGGUUUUUCUGGUGGGGGAUGGGCUCGCGGCCUAUCAGCUUGUUGGUGGGGUGAUGGCCUACCAAGGCUUUGACGGGUAGCCGGCCUGAGAGGGUGACCGGUCACAUUGGGACUGAGAUACGGCCCAGACUCCUACGGGAGGCAGCAGUGGGGAAUAUUGCACAAUGGGCGCAAGCCUGAUGCAGCGACGCCGCGUGAGGGAUGGAGGCCUUCGGGUUGUGAACCUCUUUCGCUAAUGGUCAAGCCGCAACAAUGGUUGUGGUGAGGGUAGUGGGUAAAGAAGCGCCGGCUAACUACGUG
rnacentral:rRNA from 1 species